GAUGAACGCUGGCGGCGUGCCUAAUACAUGCAAGUCGAGCGAACGGACGAGAAGCUUGCUUCUCUGAUGUUAGCGGCGGACGGGUGAGUAACACGUGGAUAACCUACCUAUAAGACUGGGAUAACUUCGGGAAACCGGAGCUAAUACCGGAUAAUAUUUUGAACCGCAUGGUUCAAAAGUGAAAGACGGUCUUGCUGUCACUUAUAGAUGGAUCCGCGCUGCAUUAGCUAGUUGGUAAGGUAACGGCUUACCAAGGCAACGAUGCAUAGCCGACCUGAGAGGGUGAUCGGCCACACUGGAACUGAGACACGGUCCAGACUCCUACGGGAGGCAGCAGUAGGGAAUCUUCCGCAAUGGGCGAAAGCCUGACGGAGCAACGCCGCGUGAGUGAUGAAGGUCUUCGGAUCGUAAAACUCUGUUAUUAGGGAAGAACAUAUGUGUAAGUAACUGUGCACAUCUUGACGGUACCUAAUCAGAAAGCCACGGCUAACUACGUGCCAGCAGCCGCGGUAAUACGUAGGUGGCAAGCGUUAUCCGGAAUUAUUGGGCGUAAAGCGCGCGUAGGCGGUUUUUUAAGUCUGAUGUGAAAGCCCACGGCUCAACCGUGGAGGGUCAUUGGAAACUGGAAAACUUGAGUGCAGAAGAGGAAAGUGGAACUCCAUGUGUAGCGGUGAAAUGCGCAGAGAUAUGGAGGAACACCAGUGGCGAAGGCGACUUUCUGGUCUGUAACUGACGCUGAUGUGCGAAAGCGUGGGGAUCAAACAGGAUUAGAUACCCUGGUAGUCCACGCCGUAAACGAUGAGUGCUAAGUGUUAGGGGGUUUCCGCCCCUUAGUGCUGCAGCUAACGCAUUAAGCACUCCGCCUGGGGAGUACGACCGCAAGGUUGAAACUCAAAGGAAUUGACGGGGACCCGCACAAGCGGUGGAGCAUGUGGUUUAAUUCGAAGCAACGCGAAGAACCUUACCAAAUCUUGACAUCCUUUGACAACUCUAGAGAUAGAGCCUUCCCCUUCGGGGGGCAAAGUGACAGGUGGUGCAUGGUUGUCGUCAGCUCGUGUCGUGAGAUGUUGGGUUAAGUCCCGCAACGAGCGCAACCCUUAAGCUUAGUUGCCAUCAUUAAGUUGGGCACUCUAAGUUGACUGCCGGUGACAAACCGGAGGAAGGUGGGGAUGACGUCAAAUCAUCAUGCCCCUUAUGAUUUGGGCUACACACGUGCUACAAUGGACAAUACAAAGGGCAGCGAAACCGCGAGGUCAAGCAAAUCCCAUAAAGUUGUUCUCAGUUCGGAUUGUAGUCUGCAACUCGACUACAUGAAGCUGGAAUCGCUAGUAAUCGUAGAUCAGCAUGCUACGGUGAAUACGUUCCCGGGUCU
rnacentral:rRNA from 1 species